AGGGCGCACGGUGGAUGCCUUGGCACUAGAAGCCGAUGAAGGACGUUACUAACGACGAUAUGCUUUGGGGAGCUGUAAGUAAGCUUUGAUCCAGAGAUUUCCGAAUGGGGAAACCCAGCAUGAGUUAUGUCAUGUUAUCGAUAUGUGAAUACAUAGCAUAUCAGAAGGCACACCCGGAGAACUGAAACAUCUUAGUACCCGGAGGAAGAGAAAGAAAAUUCGAUUCCCUUAGUAGCGGCGAGCGAAACGGGAAGAGCCCAAACCAACAAGCUUGCUUGUUGGGGUUGUAGGACACUCUAUACGGAGUUACAAAGGACGACAUUAGACGAAUCAUCUGGAAAGAUGAAUCAAAGAAGGUAAUAAUCCUGUAGUCGAAAAUGUUGUCUCUCUUGAGUGGAUCCUGAGUACGACGGAGCACGUGAAAUUCCGUCGGAAUCUGGGAGGACCAUCUCCUAAGGCUAAAUACUCUCUAGUGACCGAUAGUGAACCAGUACCGUGAGGGAAAGGUGAAAAGCACCCCGGAAGGGGAGUGAAAUAGAACCUGAAACCGUGUGCUUACAAGUAGUCAGAGCCCGUUAAUGGGUGAUGGCGUGCCUUUUGUAGAAUGAACCGGCGAGUUACGAUUUGAUGCAAGGUUAAGCAGUAAAUGUGGAGCCGUAGCGAAAGCGAGUCUGAAUAGGGCGUUUAGUAUUUGGUCGUAGACCCGAAACCAGGUGAUCUACCCUUGGUCAGGUUGAAGUUCAGGUAACACUGAAUGGAGGACCGAACCGACUUACGUUGAAAAGUGAGCGGAUGAACUGAGGGUAGCGGAGAAAUUCCAAUCGAACCUGGAGAUAGCUGGUUCUCUCCGAAAUAGCUUUAGGGCUAGCCUCAAGUGAUGAUUAUUGGAGGUAGAGCACUGUUUGGACGAGGGGCCCCUCUCGGGUUACCGAAUUCAGACAAACUCCGAAUGCCAAUUAAUUUAACUUGGGAGUCAGAACAUGGGUGAUAAGGUCCGUGUUCGAAAGGGAAACAGCCCAGACCACCAGCUAAGGUCCCAAAAUAUAUGUUAAGUGGAAAAGGAUGUGGCGUUGCCCAGACAACUAGGAUGUUGGCUUAGAAGCAGCCAUCAUUUAAAGAGUGCGUAAUAGCUCACUAGUCGAGUGACACUGCGCCGAAAAUGUACCGGGGCUAAACAUAUUACCGAAGCUGUGGAUUGUCCUUUGGACAAUGGUAGGAGAGCGUUCUAAGGGCGUUGAAGCAUGAUCGUAAGGACAUGUGGAGCGCUUAGAAGUGAGAAUGCCGGUGUGAGUAGCGAAAGACGGGUGAGAAUCCCGUCCACCGAUUGACUAAGGUUUCCAGAGGAAGGCUCGUCCGCUCUGGGUUAGUCGGGUCCUAAGCUGAGGCCGACAGGCGUAGGCGAUGGAUAACAGGUUGAUAUUCCUGUACCACCUAUAAUCGUUUUAAUCGAUGGGGGGNGGGGGGACGCAGUAGGAUAGGCGAAGCGUGCGAUUGGAUUGCACGUCUAAGCAGUAAGGCUGAGUAUUAGGCAAAUCCGGUACUCAUUAAGGCUGAGCUGUGAUGGGGAGAAGACAUUGUGUCUUCGAGUCGUUGAUUUCACACUGCCGAGAAAAGCCUCUAGAUAGAAAAUAGGUGCCCGUACCGCAAACCGACACAGGUAGUCAAGAUGAGAAUUCUAAGGUGAGCGAGCGAACUCUCGUUAAGGAACUCGGCAAAAUGACCCCGUAACUUCGGGAGAAGGGGUGCUCUUUAGGGUUAACGCCCAGAAGAGCCGCAGUGAAUAGGCCCAAGCGACUGUUUAUCAAAAACACAGGUCUCUGCUAAACCGUAAGGUGAUGUAUAGGGGCUGACGCCUGCCCGGUGCUGGAAGGUUAAGAGGAGUGGUUAGCUUCUGCGAAGCUACGAAUCGAAGCCCCAGUAAACGGCGGCCGUAACUAUAACGGUCCUAAGGUAGCGAAAUUCCUUGUCGGGUAAGUUCCGACCCGCACGAAAGGCGUAACGAUUUGGGCACUGUCUCAACGAGAGACUCGGUGAAAUCAUAGUACCUGUGAAGAUGCAGGUUACCCGCGACAGGACGGAAAGACCCCGUGGAGCUUUACUGUAGCCUGAUAUUGAAAUUCGGCACAGCUUGUACAGGAUAGGUAGGAGCCUUUGAAACGUGAGCGCUAGCUUACGUGGAGGCGCUGGUGGGAUACUACCCUAGCUGUGUUGGCUUUCUAACCCGCACCACUUAUCGUGGUGGGAGACAGUGUCAGGCGGGCAGUUUGACUGGGGCGGUCGCCUCCUAAAAGGUAACGGAGGCGCUCAAAGGUUCCCUCAGAAUGGUUGGAAAUCAUUCAUAGAGUGUAAAGGCAUAAGGGAGCUUGACUGCGAGACCUACAAGUCGAGCAGGGUCGAAAGACGGACUUAGUGAUCCGGUGGUUCCGCAUGGAAGGGCCAUCGCUCAACGGAUAAAAGCUACCCCGGGGAUAACAGGCUUAUCUCCCCCAAGAGUUCACAUCGACGGGGAGGUUUGGCACCUCGAUGUCGGCUCAUCGCAUCCUGGGGCUGUAGUCGGUCCCAAGGGUUGGGCUGUUCGCCCAUUAAAGCGGUACGCGAGCUGGGUUCAGAACGUCGUGAGACAGUUCGGUCCCUAUCCGUCGUGGGCGUAGGAAAUUUGAGAGGAGCUGUCCUUAGUACGAGAGGACCGGGAUGGACAUACCUCUGGUGUACCAGUUGUCGUGCCAACGGCAUAGCUGGGUAGCUAUGUGUGGACGGGAUAAGUGCUGAAAGCAUCUAAGCAUGAAGCCCCCCUCAAGAUGAGAUUUCCCAACUUCGGUUAU
rnacentral:rRNA from 1 species